AGCAGCCGCCACGGUAAAACGGAGGAUCCGAGCGUUAUCCGGAAUUAUUGGGUUUAAAGGGCGCGUAGGCGGAUAGAUAAGUCAGUGGUGAAAGACGGUGGCUCAACCAUCGCAGUGCCGUUGAUACUGUUUAUCUUGAAUAUGGAUGAGGUAGGCGGAAUGUGGCAAGUAGCGGUGAAAUGCAUAGAUAUGCCACAGAACACCGAUUGCGAAGGCAGCUUACCAAGGCAAAAUUGACGCUGAGGCACGAAAGCGUGGGGAUCGAACAGGAUUAGAUACCCGUGUAGUCCCUGUCUCUUAUAC
rnacentral:rRNA from 1 species